UACGGGGGGGGCAAGCGUUGUUCGGAAUUACGGGGCGUAAAGCGUGCGCAGGUGGUUACGUAAGUCGGGUGUGAAAGCCCCGGGCUCAACCUGGGAAUUGCAUUCGAGACUGCGUAGCUAGGGUGCGGAAGAGGGAAGCGGAAUUUCCGGUGUAGCGGUGAAAUGCGUAGAUAUCGGAAGGAACACCAGUGGCGAAAGCGGCUUCCUGGUCCAGCACCGACAUUCAGGCACGAAAGCGUGGGGAGCAAACAGG
rnacentral:rRNA from 1 species